GCUGGAUAACAGCAGACUCAUGGAUAUUGCUGGCAGAGAUGCACACCUGAAAGAAAAAUUCAUUCAGCAUUUCGGAGCAGGAAAUGUCAAGUUCUCAUCGGAGUGCAAAAUACGCUUUCAUAGACUAUAUCACACCACGAGGGACUGCUCAAGACCAG